rnacentral:misc_RNA from 1 species
UGGAUGGGAGGCACGUCGUGUUUGGGCAGGUUAUUGAAGGCAUGGACAUCGUUAAGAUGAUCGAAUCGCAGGAGACUGACAGAGGGGACCGCCCGAAGAAGAAGGUGGUCAUCAGUGAGUGUGGGGAGCUUCCAGUGGUCUAAUAGGUGCCAGAGGGCUAAUCUUCUUCCCCCGGAGACUUUGCUGUUUUUGGUUUCAUAGUAAGCUGUGAACUUAUCGCAUGUUCUCCGCGCAGUCAGAGAUCAUGCUGAGUUGAGGCCAAGAUUUCUAAGUUGAGAAGAAUCCUCUAUUGUUCGG